rnacentral:rRNA from 1 species
GAAUAUUGGACAAUGGGCGCAAGCCUGAUCCAGCUCUACCGCGCGGGGGAAGAAGGCCUUCGGGUUGUAAAGCCCUAUCGUUGGGAAAGAAAAGCAGUCGGCUAAUACCUCGUUGUUCCGACCGUACCCAAAGCAUAAACAACGGCUUACUUCGGUCCAGCCUCCGCGGUAAUACGAAGGGUGCAAGCGUUACUCGGAAUUACUGGGCGUAAAGCGUGCGUAGGUGGUUGUUUAAGUCUGUUGUGAAAGCCCUGGGCUCAACCUGGGAAUUGCAGUGGAUACUGGGCGACUAGAGUGUGGUAGAGGGUAGUGGAAUUCCCGGUGUAGCAGUGAAAUGCGUAGAGAUCGGGAGGAACAUCCAUGGCGAAGGCAGCUACCUGGACCAACACUGACACUGAGGCACGAAGGCGUGGGGAGCAAACAG